UGAAAUCCCGAAGCUCAACCUCGGGCUGCAGUGGGUACGGCAGACUAGAGUGCGGUAGGGGAGAUGGAAUCCUGGUGUAGCGUGAAUGCGCAGAUAUCAGAGACACCGAUGCGAAGGCAGAUCUCUGGCCGUAACUGACGCUGAGAGCGAAAGGGUGGGGAGCAAACAGGCUUAGAUACCUGGUAGUCCACCCCGUAAACGUUGGGAACUAGUUGUGGGGUCCAUUCCACGGAUUCCGUGACGCAGCUAACGCAUUAAGUUCCCCGCCUGGGGAGUACGGCCGCAAGGCUAAAACUCAAAGGAAUUGACGGGGACCCGCACAAGCGGCGGAGCAUGCGGAUUAAUUCGAUGCAACGCGAAGAACCUUACCAAGGCUUGACAUAUACGAGAACGGGCCAGAAAUGGUCAACUCUUUGGACACUCGUAAACAGGUGGUGCAUGGUUGUCGUCAGCUCGUGUCGUGAGAUGUUGGGUUAAGUCCCGCAACGAGCGCAACCCUCGUUCUAUGUUGCCAGCACGUAAUGGUGGGAACUCAUGGGAUACUGCCGGGGUCAACUCGGAGGAAGGUGGGGAUGACGUCAAAUCAUCAUGCCCCUUAUGUCUUGGGCUUCACGCAUGCUACAAUGGCCGGUACAAAGGGCUGCAAUACCGUAAGGUGGAGCGAAUCCCAAAAAGCCGGUCCCAGUUCGGAUUGAGGUCUGCAACUCGACCUCAUGAAGUCGGAGUCGCUAGUAAUCGCAGAUCAGCAACGCUGCGGUGAAUACGUUCCCGGGUCUUGUACACACCGCCCGUCAAGUCAUGAAAGUCGGUAACACCUGAAGCCGGUGGCCUAACCCUUGUGGAGGGAGCCGUCGAAGGUGGGAUCGGUAAUUAGGACUAAGUCGUAACAAGGUAACC
rnacentral:rRNA from 1 species